ACGUGGCCUUGUACCUGCCGCCGGCGGGGAGCGACGACCAGGAGACGCGAGAGUGCUACCAACUGAGCCAGAUUGACACGCAGGCCAAGCUGAAUAAUAAAGGUCAUUGCUACUGAAAACAGCCUUGGCCACUCCACACACCGAUUGUUGGUAGAAAACAGAAUCAGAAUGACACUUGGGCUUCAAAAUAUCAUGUCCGUUAAAGUCACGCAAUGGAAAGGAUCACCAGUAGUCUGCCGGUGCAGAUUUGUGGAUCCAGUGUGAAAUUAAUGCACAAACCAUCCCUAGACGGUGCUCUUGUAUUUGAGCAGCUUCUCGCUUGCUUCACUGUUGCAGAGAACCCUCGAGAAUGCACAGGGCAGCCCGACUUCCAGAGAACACGUCUACUACAGCUGCUCUUUAAUAAACAAU